rnacentral:rRNA from 1 species
UAGGGGGCAAGCGUUGUCCGGAAUCAUUGGGCGUAAAGCGCGUGUAGGCGGCCCGGUAAGUCCGCUGUGAAAGUCCAGGGCUCAACCCUGGAAUGCCGGUGGAUACUGUCGGGCUCGAGUCCGGAAGAGGCGAGUGGAAUUCCUGGUGUAGCGGUGAAAUGCGCAGGUAUCAGGAGGAACACCGAUGGCGAAGGCAGCUCGCUGGGACGGUACUGACGCUGAGACGCGAAAGCGUGGGGAGCAAACAGG